AUGGGGAACACGCUGACUUGUUGCGUGUCCCUCAAUGCCAGCCCCAAGCUGGGCCGGCGCGCCGGAUCCCCGCGUCCGACAUCUACGAGGCGGCGUCCGGGGACGAGGUGGCGGUAGCGCCUGCUGCUGCGGAGCCUCCCGAGUUUGAUUUCGGAGAAGGCGAGGGCCACCACCUGCAGCACAUCAGCGACCGCGAGAUGCCCAAAGAUUUAGCAUUGGAGUCAAACCCUUCUGACCAUCCAAGGGCAAGCACAAUUUUCCUGCGCAAAUCUCAAACGGAUGUGAGAGAAAAGAGGAAGAGCAACCAUUUAAACCAUGUAUCUCCAGGGCAGCUUACUAAAAAGUAUAGCUCAUGCUCAACAAUAUUUCUAUAUGACAGCACAGUCAACCAGCCUAACCUUAGAACCACAGUAAAAUGUGUGACCUUAGCAAUAUAUCACCACAUAAAGAACAGAGAUGCAAAUAGAUCCCUGGAUAUUUUUGAUGAGAGAUCACAUCCACUUACACGAGAAAAAGUUCCAGAAGAAUAGUUUAAGCAUGAUCCUGAGCACAAAUUUAUUUACAGAUUUGUUCAUACUCCUUUUAGUGCUGCACAGCUAACAGCUGAAUGUGCAAUAGUAACUUUGGUUUACUUAGAAAAGCUUUUAACUUAUGCUGAAACCAACAUUUGUCCCACUAACUGGAAAAGGAUUGGUCUGCGAGCCAUUCUUGCCUCCAAGGUUUGGAACCAUCAGGCUGUAUGGAAUAUGGACUACUGCCAGAUCUUCAAGGACAUUACAGGUGAGGACAUGAAUGAAAUGGAAAGGCAUUUUUUGAUGCUUCUUCAGUUUAAUCUUAAUGUUCCUGCCAGUGUUUAUGCCAAAUACUACUUUGAUCUUCGCUCCUUAGCAGAUGACAAUAACCUGAAUUUUCUAUUUGCUCCUCUUAGCAAAAAAAGAGCACAGAACCUAGAGGCUAUUUCUAGAUUGUGUGAAGACAAAGACUUGUGGAGAGCC
rnacentral:lncRNA from 1 species